rnacentral:misc_RNA from 1 species
GAUAAGAACGUAGCGAAAUGCGAUAAGUAAUGUGAAUUGCAGAAUUCAGUGAAUCAUCGAAUCUUUGAACGCACAUUGCGCCCGCCAGUAUUCUGGCGGGCAUGCCUGUUCGAGCGUCAUUUCAACCAUCAAGCCCCCGGCUUGUGUUGGGGACCUGCGGCUGCCGCAGGCCCUGAAAAGCAGUGGCGGGCUCGCUGUCACACCGAGCGUAGUAGCAUACAUCUCGCUCUGGGCGUGCUGCGGGUUCCGGCCGUUAAACCACCUUCAUAACCCAAGGUUGACCUCGGAUCAGGUAGGAAGACCCGCUGAACUUAAGCAUAUCAAUAAGCGGAGGA